rnacentral:rRNA from 1 species
GAUCUUGGGUCGGGGGGAGCGGUCCGCCCCUUCGUGGGUGUGCACUGGUCCCACCCGACCUUGUUUCUGCCGGGGACGCGCUCCUGGCCUUCGCUGGUCGGGACGCGGAGUCGGCGACGUUACUUUGAAAAAAUUAGAGUGUUUAAAGCAGGCUUUUGCUAUGAAUACAUUAGCAUGGAAUAAUAAUCUAGGACUUCGGUUCUAUUUUGUUGGUUUCUAUAACUGAAGUAAUGAUUGAUAGGGAUAGUUGGGGGUGCUAGUAUUGGCCGGCCAGAGGUGAAAUUCUUGGAUUCGGUCAAGACUAACUUAUGCGAAAGCAUU